AGUAAAUAGAUACCCGGGUAGUCCACGCCCUAAACGAUGUCAACUAGUUGUUGGGGGAGUAAAAUCCCUUAGUAACGCAGCUAAACGCGUGAAAGUUGACCGCCUGGGGAGUACGGUCGCAAGAUUAAAACUCAAAGGAAUUGACGGGGCCCGCACAAGCGGUGGAUUAUGUGGAUUAAUUCGAUGCAACGCGAAAAACCUUACCUGGCCUUGACAUGCCACUAACGAAGCAGAGAUGCAUUAGGUGCCCGAAAGGGAAAGUGGACACAGGUGCUGCAUGGCUGUCGUCAGCUCGUGUCGUGAGAUGUUGGGUUAAGUCCCGCAACGAGCGCAACCCUUGCCAAUAAUUGCCAUCAUUCAGUUGGGCACUUUAUUGGGACUGCCGGUGACAAACCGGAGGAAGGUGGGGAUGACGUCAAGUCCUCAUGGCCCUUAUGGCCAGGGCUUCACACGUAAUACAAUGGUCGGUACAGAGGGUUGCCAACCCGCGAGGGGAGCCAAUCCCAGAAAGCCGAUCGUAGUCCGGAUUGUAGUCUGCAACUCGACUAC
rnacentral:rRNA from 1 species